UCUGAUCAACUGAACAGUUGCGUAUUAGAUGAUCGUAGUAUUUUUCUGAUCAUUUGAGACAACAGGUUGUGUGUUUGGAAUUUGACAUCUAAUUUAUCAAGCCGUUGAGAAGACACAUUACGACCACUGAUUUUUUAGCUACGGUUGCGCUCAACUGCUGCGCCUUCUGAACCUACCCCCUAUGGAAAUAAAACGAAACCAAUUUCAAACAAUUUCACCAACUUAUAUUUUGAUCCCUGUUCUGCAAUCCGAGUCGGAAUCGCAUCGUAAUCGGAAUUAAAUCCGACUCGGAAUUGAAAUGGUGUUCCACAAUCCGAUCGGAACUUUUGUUUCGAAGUUAAUAGCGAAUCCGAUUGUGUAAAAAAAGGAACAAACCUCCAAUCUGUCAACUUUGUUUUGAUGUGUGUCAAUUUCAUUUGGAUAAAUAAAACCGAGAAAAUAAACAUGA